UACGAAGGGGGCUAGCGUUGCUCGGAAUUACUGGGCGUAAAGAGCGUGUAGGCGGCCUUUUAAGUCCUGCGUGAAAUCCUGCGGCUCAACCGCAGACGGUCGUGGGAAACUGGAAGGCUAGAGUGCGGGAGAGGAGAGUGGAAUUCCCGGUGUAGCGGUGAAAUGCGCAGAUAUCGGGAGGAACACCGGUGGCGAAGGCGGGUCUCUGGGCCGAUACUGACGCUGAGGAGCGAAAGCGUGGGGAGCGAACAGG
rnacentral:rRNA from 1 species